UUAAGUGGUUGGUAUCCUAUGAUAGUCGAGAUCACGGAUACUACUGAGCCUCCUUAGCAGUGGAAUCAUGAAUUUACACCAUGUGGUUAUUCGCUUACUUUCAGCUAGGAAAGCAAGAAACGCUUUGGGCAUGAGGGUCUGAAAAAGAAAAAAGAGCUGAGACAAAGAGGAGUUUUUCAAAAUUCCUCAUAAUUCAAAAUGCAUAGCCCUCAAAUUAGGGAUGAACUUUAGAAGGUUCAAAAAAGUUGCCCUUCUGAUAACAAAAAAAGCACUACUGAAGAAUCCACUGCAGAAGAAAGGGCGCUCCCUAGGUACUGCAUAUCAGGACUGUGUUUAUAUAGUUCAGCAGAAAAGGAACUGGAGCAGAUACUGGCUUUUAGGAAGAAUUCCACAUAAAAGAGGGGGAAUUGUUCUCUUUUAGGUCUAAGAUGAAAUAGAUGAUCAUAACUGCUCUGCUUGGAGAUGCAUUUCAUGGCACAAUGUAUACGUGACCUAUACAAGGUCACGUCAUGGGAAGAGAACGGACAUGAGAGAUAAGUAGAAUCCAAGCUUUUAGUCUUGGACAACUUCAGGGUAACCUAUUUAGGCUUGCUUUAUUUCAUGCAAUACGGCAAGAAAAGUUUCUUUUUAAACAGUAAGUACGUCGUAGAUAUAAAGUCUGUAUAGGGCUCUCUCAGUGGUUUGAACAAUGUCAAUUACAAAUAUAUGAAGAAUUACUGCCCAAAUCACUGAUCAUUAAGGGUUAUUUUAUUUUAUUAUUUUAUUUUUUGGUCACAUUUUGAGCCUUGGUACAGUGGCAAGCCAGC